rnacentral:RNase_P_RNA from 2 species
UCCGGAGGAAGCUCACCGUUGAGGCCAUGCACUGGGUGCCCAACACCUGCUGUUCCUCAGGCCUUCCCCAUACAGGCCACCAGCAGUGGGUGAGGGGCACCCACUGCAUGGCCUCAACGGCGAGCUUCCUCCGGA